UUGUUUUGUUAUAAUAUCAUCCUUUUUUGUUGUUCACAGACUGGAAAGUAUGCAUAUUAUGCUCAUUUCGGUGUGUGCAAGAGAUGUGGUAUGUUUCAUUAUGUGGUGUUGUUUUGUUAUAAUAUCAUCCUUUUUGGUUGUGCACAGACUGGAAAGUAUGCAUAUUUAUCUUCAAAGGAGACCAGUAGCUAGUUUGUGUCACCUUGAAGAGGGGGUGCAAUGAAGGUAAGAUUGAUGAUUUCCAAGUACAAGAUGUUAGUAAGGAGCCUUGCAAAAGAAGAAUGAGCAUCGCUGAGCUUGUUCAACCCGUUAAGGUAAGUCACACUGUAUUACAAUUACCAGGACAUCCUAUUUGUCUGACAUUGUGCUUGCGUAGGGUUCUUCACCCGUAACCUAGUCAUUGGGCCAUUGAUUAAAAACCCCUCCACUCACUACUAUAUGAUGUUCUAAUUUUUUUGUAAGUCAUAUGUAUGUAAACACAUUUUAAUGUGUCUGUUCACUCAUUACGGAUGUAGUCUAUUUUUCAAUAUCUAAAACAUCUUAUAGUAGUGAACAGUGUGAAACUGCUUCCUACCAUGGUAGAGUUGUCGAUGUCAUAAAUGUCAUAACCAAAUGCAUAUUCACAUCAUCAGCCUCCCUAUCAUUACUAGGAUAUUGGUUACAUACUAGUCGAGAUACUAAAUAGGGGGCAAACAAUAUUACAUUACUUGUUCCUUUAUAUAGUAAAUGUAGCUAGGCCAUGGAUGUUAUUGAGGCAUGCAUGUCUGCCAACUCAAUAGUUCAAUUGCUUGUUUGUUUCAUGCAUAGUUAAAUUGCACUUUUCAAUUGCUUUAUUUGUCCUCAGUUAAUGAGAUGCCCAAACAAUGAUGCCUAAUGUUGGGUACUUGUAUAACUAUUAGUUGACAUAAAUAAAGGCCUUACCAUUUAAUUACUCUGGUGAAGUGUGCCUAAAGCUUUGAAGUCUAUUAACCAACUAUUACUCCACGGGGCUCACAAUCUAGUUUAUACUAGGCUAAUGAUUGCAUAGUCUUGCUUGCUGUAGUAGGUUUGUACGAAUCCCUUUGUUGUUCAUUAUGCUCCCUAAGACUUUAAUUGAGCUACAGAAUGGCCAAAUGCUUGCUUAUACGCAAUGUGCUGUCUAAAUUUGUAACCUGUCUGUGUUUUGGAUUUGCCCCAACAUCAUGCUCCUCUGGUGAGCUAAGAGAGAUUUUUGUAUGCGGGCUGCACAGACUACCAUUUUUAUAAUUUUUAAAAUAUCACCUACUUAUGCUUCAUCACGUGUACCAUUAUAGUUAGUCCUGUUUUGCCAUGUACAAAAUAGUUUGUCUUGCUCGAUUCACUGUUGUAACUAUAUUUUUGCCCUAGUCAUGUGUACUUAUAGAAACAUUUCAGGAUGAAGUGACAUCAACACAAAGAUCUGCGAGCAGUGCGGCAUGGUCGUUACCAAAUGAUUACAAAUUGGAAUUGGAAUGUGCUGAUGUUCUCGAGCAUCAACUAGAGGUGGCAAGACAACGUGUACAUGAUUCUGAAUGAGCAAUCAACAAGUUGAGACUGGACUUGCAGGUAUUAGAUGCAAGAGUCAACAAAAUGAAACGAGAGACCAAGGUAACCGUGAAGGAAUGGGAGAUUUUGUAGACUGAAAUUUGUGCUAUCUGAAUCCGGCCAAUCCUGUUUUCUGAAGAAAUUAUAGUUCAAAUUGUAAGUUCUGUUGAUGCGCGUCCAUGAUGUAUUAGCUGUAUUUGCCCAGUGUAUGUAAUUUGUUGUUUGUGUAUGCUUUAUUAUCACAGGUGCCGAACCAUAAUGCUAAGUGGGUAUAAUCAGCUGUAAUUUCUUUAUUGUAUAGUGUAGGAUUAUUCUACGUUUCUAUGACUUAGUCUCUUUAAUGUAUAGUGUAUGUUUUUAGAGAUGAUAGUAUAGAGUAGGAUAAUUCUUUGAAUAUGCUAU
rnacentral:lncRNA from 1 species